CCUACGGGGGGCAGCAGUGGGGGAUAUUGCACAAUGGGCGAAAGCCUGAUGCAGCAACGCCGCGUGAACGAUGAAGGUCUUCGGAUCGUAAAGUUCUGUUGCAGGGGAAGAUAAUGACGGUACCCUGUGAGGAAGCACCGGCUAACUACGUGCCAGCAGCCGCGGUAAUACGUAGGGUGCUAGCGUUAUCCGGAUUUACUGGGCGUAAAGGGUGCGUAGGUGGUCUUUCAAGUCGGUGGUUAAAGGCUACGGCUCAACCGUAUUAAGCCGCCGAAACUGGAAGACUUGAGUGCAGGAGAGGAAAGUGGAAUUCUCAGUGUAGCGGUGAAAUGCGUAGAUAUUGGGAAGAACACCAGUAGCGAAGGCGGCUUUCUGGACUGCAACUGACACUGAGGCACGAAAGCGUGGGUAGCAAACAGGAUUAGAUACCCU
rnacentral:rRNA from 1 species